UACGGAAGGCAGCAGUGGGGAAUAUUGCACAAUGGGCGCAAGCCUGAUGCAGCCAUGCCGCGUGUAUGAAGAAGGCCUUCGGGUUGUAAAGUACUUUCAGUCGUGAGGAAGGUGUUAAGGUUAAUAACCUUAGCAAUUGACGUUAGCGACAGAAGAAGCACCGGCUAACUCCGUGCCAGCAGCCGCGGUAAUACGGAGGGUGUGAGCGUUAAUCGGAAUUACUGGGCGUAAAGGGCACGCAGGCGGUUAAUUAAGUUGGAUGUGAAAUCCCCGGGCUUAACCUGGGAAUGGCAUUCAAGACUGGUUAGCUAGAGUCUUGUAGAGGGGGUAGAAUUCCAUGUGUAGCGGUGAAAUGCGUAGAGAUGUGGAGGAAUACCGGUGGGCGAAGGCGGCCCCUGGGACAAAGGACUGACGCUCAUGUGCGAAAGCGUGGGGAGCAAACAGGGAUUAGAUACC
rnacentral:rRNA from 1 species